rnacentral:tRNA from 1 species
GAGGAUAUAGCUCAGUGGUAGGGCCCACGCCUAGCAUGUACAGGGUCCUGGGUUCAAUCCCCAGUACCUCCA